AGGACGAACGCUGGCGGCGUGCUUAACACAUGCAAGUCGAGCGGAAAGGCCCUUCGGGGUACUCGAGCGGCGAACGGGUGAGUAACACGUGAGCAACCUGCCCUUAGCUUCGGGAUAGCUCCGGGAAACCGGAAUUAAUACCGGAUAUGACUAUGGCCGACAUCAGCCAUGGUGGAAAGUUUUUCGGCUAGGGAUGGACUCGCGGCCUAUCAGCUAGUUGGUGAGGUAACGGCUCACCAAGGCGACGACGGGUAGCCGGCCUGAGAGGGCGACCGGCCACACUGGGACUGAGACACGGCCCAGACUCCUACGGGAGGCAGCAGUGGGGAAUAUUGCGCAAUGGGCGAAAGCCUGACGCAGCGACGCCGCGUGGGGGAUGAAUGCCUUCGGGUUGUAAACCCCUUUCAGCAGGGACGAAGCGAAAGUGACGGUACCUGCAGAGAAGCGCCGGCUACUACGUGCCAGCACGCCGC
rnacentral:rRNA from 1 species